rnacentral:rRNA from 1 species
UACGAGGGGGGCAAGCGUUUGUUCGGAAUUAUUGGGCGUAAAGGGUGCGUAGGCGGUUUGGUAAGUCUUAUGUGAAAUCUACAGGCUCAACUUGUAGUCUGCAUGAGAAACUGCCGGGCUUGAGUAUGGGAGAGGUGAGUGGAAUUCCUGGUGUAGCGGUGAAAUGCGUAGAUAUCAGGAGGAACACCUGUGGCGAAAGCGGCUCACUGGACCAUAACUGACGCUGAUGCACGAAAGCGUGGGGGAGCAAACAGG